rnacentral:rRNA from 2 species
CAUGCAGUCGAGCGGACAGAUGGGAGCUUGCUCCCUGAUGUUAGCGGCGGACGGGUGAGUAACACGUGGGUAACCUGCCUGUAAGACUGGGAUAACUCCGGGAAACCGGGGCUAAUACCGGAUGCUUGAUUGAACCGCAUGGUUCAAUUAUAAAAGGUGGCUUUUAGCUACCACUUACAGAUGGACCCGCGGCGCAUUAGCUAGUUGGUGAGGUAACGGCUCACCAAGGCAACGAUGCGUAGCCGACCUGAGAGGGUGAUCGGCCACACUGGGACUGAGACACGGCCCAGACUCCUACGGGAGGCAGCAGUAGGGAAUCUUCCGCAAUGGACGAAAGUCUGACGGAGCAACGCCGCGUGAGUGAUGAAGGUUUUCGGAUCGUAAAACUCUGUUGUUAGGGAAGAACAAGUACCGUUCGAAUAGGGCGGUACCUUGACGGUACCUAACCAGAAAGCCACGGCUAACUACGUGCCAGCAGCCGCGGUAAUACGUAGGUGGCAAGCGUUGUCCGGAAUUAUUGGGCGUAAAGCGCGCGCAGGCGGUUUCUUAAGUCUGAUGUGAAAGCCCCCGGCUCAACCGGGGAGGGUCAUUGGAAACUGGGGAACUUGAGUGCAGAAGAGGAGAGUGGAAUUCCACGUGUAGCGGUGAAAUGCGUAGAGAUGUGGAGGAACACCAGUGGCGAAGGCGACUCUCUGGUCUGUAACUGACGCUGAGGCGCGAAAGCGUGGGGAGCGAACAGGAUUAGAUACCCUGGUAGUCCACGCCGUAAACGAUGAGUGCUAAGUGUUAGAGGGUUUCCGCCCUUUAGUGCUGCAGCAAACGCAUUAAGCACUCCGCCUGGGGAGUACGGUCGCAAGACUGAAACUCAAAGGAAUUGACGGGGGCCCGCACAAGCGGGUGGAGCAUGUGGUUUAAUUCGAAGCAACGCGAAGAACCUUACCAGGUCUUGACAUCCUCUGACAACCCUAAGAUAGGGCUUCCCCUUUCGGGGGGCAAAGUGACAGGUGGGUGCAUGGUUUGUCGUCAGCUCCGUGUCCGGGAGAUGUUGGGGUUAAGUCCC